GCUGCGUUAGCUCUCCCGAUAGCUACCUGCCUGUCGGCAGACAAGUCGGGACGGUAGAGCAACGGGACUGAAAAUCCUGUGCCUGCCCGCCGCGGCGGGUCGGCGGUUCGAUCCCGCCCCACAGCA
rnacentral:tRNA from 1 species